UGUGAUGUGGUGUAGUGGCCAACAUUGCUGUCUUUCAUUCCAUCAUUUCACGGCAAUACGACACAGCAGCCCGGGGUUCGAUUCCCCGCAUCGGAA